rnacentral:rRNA from 1 species
GACGAACGCUGGCGGCGUGCUUAACACAUGCAAGUCGAACGGUGACGAGGAGCUUGCUCCUCUGAUCAGUGGCGAACGGGUGAGUAACACGUGAGCAACCUGCCCCAGACUCUGGGAUAACAGUUGGAAACAGCUGCUAAUACCGGAUACGAGACGGAGAGGCAUCUCUACCGUCUGGAAAGUUUUUCGGUCUGGGAUGGACUCGCGGCCUAUCAGCUAGUUGGUGAGGUAAUGGCUCACCAAGGCGACGAUGGGUAGCCGACCUGAGAGGGUGAUCGGCCACACUGGGACUGAGACACGGCCCAGACUCCUACGGGAGGCAGCAGUGGGGAAUAUUGGGCAAUGGGCGAAAGCCUGACCCAGCAACGCCGCGUGAAGGAAGAAGGUCUUCGGAUUGUAAACUUCUGUCGUCAGGGACGAAAAAGGACGGUACCUGGCAAGAAAGCCCCGGCUAACUACGUG